rnacentral:rRNA from 1 species
GUCAAUGACCAUACCAUGUUGAACACACCGGUUCUCGUCCGAUCACCGAAGUUAAGCAACAUCGGGCAUGGCUACUAGUACUUAGGUGGGUGACCACUUGGGAAAACCAUGUGUCGUUGGCA